UGCCAGCCCAAGCGAGAUUUCCUCCAGUCCGCGGCUAUGCGGAUUCUCCAUCUGCAAACAUUCCCUCUUUGUGAAAACGGGUGGUUUCAUAGCCAGCGGCGGGCGGGUUCAGGGCUCCCUGAUUCGACCAGGUUAACAGCCCCAAUCCAGGAAGUAAUAUUCUAUAAAGUCCAGCUGGCUGACCUUGAUACAAUCAUUACAUAUUGGAUGUGAGGCAAACAGUAAACAGAACGUCAACUCUGCUGCUCCUCGGAUGCUGUCUGACCUUCUGUGCUUUUCCAGCGCCACACUUUCCGACUCGGACUCUCCAGCAUCUGCAGUCCUCACUUUCUCCUAGUAAAUAGGAACAAUAAAGUGAUUUGGUAGAUACCUAAAUAAAUGUGUUCCAAAACUUUCUGCACACCUAGCCCAGGUGUUCCAGGACAAAUACACUGGCAUCUACCCAACAACAUGGAAAAUUGCCUAGUUAUGUUUGUAAAGCAGGGUAAAUCCAACCCAGCCAAUUACUCCACUUUGGUCAACU